rnacentral:lncRNA from 1 species
GGGGUUUAUUCAAAUUGAUCUCAACUUUUAAAAUUUUUAUAAAUAACUACCUAAUGUUUUAAUAAUUGACAUUUGUCAGCAAUGGCGGAUCCAGGAUUUUAACAAUGGGUGGUCCUAAUAUAAAAGUUCCAGAAAAAAAAAUGAAAAUAACAUAGAAAAAUAAAUGGCAAACUACAACUUUGACAAAAAAUAUGUAUGAACUAACACUGUAACACAAUCUUCUACAA